rnacentral:piRNA from 1 species
UUCUACAGCUGGCAAAGAGCUAGGCC